CCUACGGGGGGCUGCAGUGGGGAAUAUUGGGCAAUGGGCGAAAGCCUGACCCAGCAACGCCGCGUGAAGGAAGAAGGCUUUCGGGUUGUAAACUUCUUUUGACAGGGAAGAGCAGAAGACGGUACCUGUCGAAUAAGCCACGGCUAACUACGUGCCAGCAGCCGCGGUAAUACGUAGGGGGCAAGCGUUAUCCGGAUUUACUGGGUGUAAAGGGGGCGCAGACGGCAGCGCAAGCCAGGAGUGAAAGCCCGGGGCCCAACCCCGGGACUGCUCUUGGAACUGCGCGGCUGGAGUGCAGGAGGGGCAGGCGGAAUUCCUGGUGUAGCGGUGAAAUGCGUAGAUAUCAGGAGGAACACCGGUGGCGAAGGCGGCCUGCUGGACUGCGACUGACGUUGAGGCCCGAAAGCGUGGGGAGCAAACAGGAUUAGAUACCCUGGUAGUC
rnacentral:rRNA from 1 species